GGGGAUGUAGCUCAGUUGGUAGAGUGCCUGCCUCGAACGCACAAGGCCCUGGGUUCAAUCCCCAGCCCCG
rnacentral:tRNA from 1 species